GUGAUGGGGAACCUUUUAGAGAUGGAGUGCAGGCACCCCACCCCUGCCAUUGUGUGCUGGGUUUGCCCCACCCCCCUUACCCCACACAGGGGAGGGAGAAAGUACUCUCAUUGGGCUGCUGGGCAGAGGGGUGGGGGAAUGUGAAAAAAUGUUGCCAGACACAAUGGAGAGGGAGAAGGGAGCAUCUCUGCCAGAGACUCUCUACCUUUCUAGUAAUGAACUCCAGUGGAUAGGAAGGUGGCUGCAUGCCCAGAGAGAGUGCUCUGUGUGCCAUCUUUGGCACCUAUGCCAUAGGCUCACCGUCAAUGAGCUAUAGGUUCAAAUCUACAUUUUAAAAAAUAAUUCAGUUGAUAAGAAAGGGCUGAUAAGGAUCUAGAGAUGUAAAGCUCCUACAUGGGAUAUAGAGGAUAAGGACAAUGAUCCUUUCAAGGAAUAUACAGCAAUGAAAAUACUCUGGACAAAAAUGACCUCAAUAUAUCCCUUCAAGUCUGUUUAACUGUGUGAGAAAUGAUUUCAUUUUAUAACGCUAAACCAUAGCUCCAUCUAAUGGCCAGAAUGAAAACUUCAACUCUUCCCAACUCCUUAAAGAAGCCAAGGAACCUAACAACUCAAGAGUCAGAGAGGAAACCAGCAUGGAAUGAUAGCAAGUGCUUGUUCUUUGUGGAUCUUCAUCUGUGGAAUUUUGUAUUGCUUCAUUCACUCUUCCUUUUCCAUAAGCAAUGAGCUGGCUGCCAGGAGAAGCAUUUGGACCUCUCUGCCAGUGAAUGGGCACCUCAUGCAAAAGCAUCACCCUUAGGAGGUUCAGUCCGUAGCCAGACUUGUGUUCCAUGCCACAGAGAGGAGAAGCUGAUGACUGAUUACCAAGGGCAGAGACCAGGAGUCUUCACCUGAUGAUGGACUCUGCUGGAUAGCCUGAGUCAAAUAUUAUCUAAUAAUCGUGUUGCAUUUGAAGUACCCGGUGAAUCGAUCCCAAGGAUGAAACAGUGACCAACAUGUAAAACACAAGAGGGAGUUUAUUAAACAAACUGCAGCCUGGGCUUGGCACUCUAAAACUGGCUCGAGCCCUGAUUCUGGGACUUGAAGGUCCUUUU
rnacentral:lncRNA from 1 species